UACGUAGGUGGCAAGCGUUGUCCGGAAUUAUUGGGCGUAAAGCGCGCGCAGGCGGUUUCUUAAGUUUGAUGUGAAAGCCCCCGGCUCAACCGGGGAGGGUCAUUGGAAACUGGGGAACUUGAGUGCAGAAGAGAAGAGUGGAAUUCCACGUGUAGCGGUGAAAUGCGUAGAGAUGUGGAGGAACACCAGUGGCGAAGGCGACUCUUUGGUCUGUAACUGACGCUGAGGCGCGAAAGCGUGGGGAGCAAACAGG
rnacentral:rRNA from 1 species